GCAUGAACAUCCAGUAAAUAAGAUUUCCUUCAUUGCUCGUGAUGUGACAGACAAUAGAGCAUUUGGUUAUGUGUGUGGAGGAGAAGGCCAGCAUCAAUUUUUUGCUAUAAAAACAGGGCAACAGGCUGAACCAUUAGUCGUCGAUCUUAAAGACCUUUUUCAAGUUAUCUAUAAUGUAAAGAAAAAGGAAGAAGAAAAGAAAAAGGUUGAAGAAGCCAACAAAGCGGAAGAGAAUGGGAGUGAGGCCCUAAUGACCCUUGAUGAUCAAGCUAACAAACUGAAGCUGGGUGUUGACCAGAUGGAUUUGUUUGGGGACAUGUCUACACCUCCUGACCUAAAUAAUCCAACAGUAAGUGUUUCAUUUUUAAAUUUGCAAUAUAAGUGAAAUAACAUCUAUAAUCCAAAUUUACAAUUAACCAGAGAGCUUGAGCAUUUCAUGAAAACUUUGAAUGUCUUGAUUUUUGCUCAUGAAAUGAAAGUGAUUACUAGAAAAAUAAUUUGGAUCUUAAGUGACCGUAGAACCUACUAUUACUAAUUCAGAUACAUUAGUAUAGCAUAGAGGUUAAAUCC
rnacentral:lncRNA from 1 species